AGUCACAUCCCGGACACUGUCAAAGGUAAAGGAGUACAACUGACUUGCUCAUCGGUGAAGGAUGAUGAUACUAUUCAGGGAGAGGUAAGGGAAGAGUCGGAGCACUCAAGUUCUCAGUUUGUUCGACCUACGAGAUAUUCUGGGAAAUGUCGAAAGAGGGAUGAAGUGAGAAACUUGCAGCUUCACUUCAAAGAACCCCUCCCCUCUACUGUCUAUACUGAUAAGAAACUAGCCAUUCAUGUCGAGUUAGUCGAUGCAAACACAGGCCAUACUGUCGAAUCAGGUCCAGAGUCCUCUGUUGAGGUAGAAGUUGUGGUGCUUGAAGGUGAUUCCGGGACAGGUGGUAAUGGUAACAGGACCCAAGGAUUUGAGAAAUCUGUAGUGAAAGGACGCCUUAAAGUGAAUCUUAAGGGAGGCAUUGGGGAGCUGCUUGUAGAGUUCACCGACGUUUCAAGGUGGAGUAAGGGCAGGACGUUCAGGCUAGCAGUACGGGAGUCAGAAGGUCGUAAGUAUAUUCAUAAAGUGGAAUCAGAGCCGAUCUCAGUGAAGGCGGGUAGAG